GACGAACGCUGGCGGCGUGCUUAACACAUGCAAGUCGAACGGAAAGGCCCUGCUUUUGUGGGGUGCUCGAGUGGCGAACGGGUGAGUAACACGUGAGUAACCUGCCCUUGACUUUGGGAUAACUUCAGGAAACUGGGGCUAAUACCGGAUAGGAGCUCCUGCUGCAUGGUGGGGGUUGGAAAGUUUCGGCGGUUGGGGAUGGACUCGCGGCUUAUCAGCUUGUUGGUGGGGUAGUGGCUUACCCAGGCUUUGACGGGUAGCCGGCCUGAGAGGGUGACCGGCGACAUUGGGACUGAGAUACGGCCCAGUCGCCUACGUGAGGCAGCAGUGGGGAAUAUUGCACAAUGGGCGGAAGCCUGAUGCAGCAACGCCGCGUGCGGGAUGACGGCCUUCUGGUUGUAAACCGCUUUCGCCUGUGACGAAGCGUUAGUGACGGUAAUGGGUAAAGAAGCACCGGCUAACUACGUG
rnacentral:rRNA from 1 species